CAAGCUACUAAAUGUUGAACUCACGCCUACUUCCCCUGAGUUACUGUCAAUUCGCACCCAAUGUCAUCGAACGUGUAUAAUUAACAAAUACGGCGCUUUCCUCUCAUGUUAUUUGCAUACUUACAUAAAUAUGGAAUCAGGAGGUAUUGCCAGGUACAUGAGAGGUCUCUUAGAGGAAUAUAAAACUUUAAGAGGUCAGAGCUGUAGAAAGGGGCUUAGACCAAUGUGGGAUGCAGUUGUCAUAACAACAGCUGAUGAAGUUCAGAAAGAAGCAUUUCGCUUGCAAGUGGAUGACAAGAUUGCUCGCAAGGAACUUCCUCUUGAUCUUCCAAUUCAUCUGGUUUCUGACCCUCCAGGGUUCAAGAUUGGCAAUGGUGGAUCAACACUUGUGGCCCUGGAAUUUCUGAAUAAUCUUUAUGGAGAAAAGAUUUUCCAGAUGAAGAUACUGCUCAUCCAUGCUGGAGGGUGGAGCCAGAGAAUGCCAAAUGCCACCAUUUUAGGAAAGAUUUUCUCAGCUGUUCCUCAUGGGCAGCCAAUUUAUCAAAUGCUUGAUCUCAAACUUGCCUUGUAUUGGCCCUUUGUGUCAAUCAUUGCACCUGGGAUUUUUCUGGUAUGUGCAGACGAUAUACUAGUGUAUGACCUGGGUGAAGAGAAUGAUUGGUCUGUGCCUGCAAGGGGUUUCACAGCAUUGGCUCAUCCAUCUCCUAUUAGCAUUGGAAGAACUCAUGGAGUAUACGUCAUAGAUGAGGUUGAGAAGCUAGACACCAAAAAACAUGUGUUAGUAGCAAACUGUCUGGAAGUGUUGCAGAAGCCAUCUGAUGAAAAGAUGAAAGAGAGAGGAGCCCUGCUGAAAUCUGAUGAUAACCAUUUUGAAUUUGCUGAUGGUAUCUGUAUGGAUGGGGAUAUUGUUUACACUGACAGCUCCUACUACUUUGGAGUUGAUGUAAUGAGGAAGCUGUUGAAAUUGAAACAGACACUUGGUAGCAUAUCUUGUGAGAUAGAUGCUUAUGGAGAUUUCUUGCAAGCUCUUGGUCAACGUUCCAGUGAUGCCUACAUCUUCAACACUUCAAAUAUUUCUCAGAUGACCAGUGAACUGAUACAGGUUCGCAAGCAAGCAUUUGAUGCCCUGCAAAAAACUAAUCUUAGUCUGAUCAUCAUGAAUGCCUCCCGUUUCAUCCAUAUCGGCACGACCAAAGAGCUGAUCCAUCACUUCUGCCAAGACAAGGAUUUCCAGUAUCAGCUUGCACUUGAAAAAAAUGUUUUCAACUGCUGGGGGGAGAAUCUUGAAACAGAAAAAAAGCACAUUCCAGAUUCUCACACAGAUGUUGCACUUCCAGCAGGCUCUUUAAGCAAAGGUUGUGUUAUGCAUUCAGUGCUUCCAAGGUCUUCAUCUGUGGCAGAAAACUGCAUUGUUGAGUAUUGCCAUUUUGAUAUACCUGUGGUGUUUAGAGAUGGCUCUAUCAUCAGCAACUGUCAGUGGCUGAAGUGUGAUGGGCAGUGCCGAGAAACUCUGGUAGUUCCAGAAAAUAUUUUUCUCCACACUGUAUCUGUGCUCUUAGAGGGUGCAUCAUAUUUUGUUACAAUCUUUUUUGCGAUCUCUGAUAACCUGAAAACAUCAGUGCCACAAUCCAAAUUAGCCAGUCUGCCUUUUCUUCACAAGACUGUAGGUUUUGCUCUGCAACAGUGGCAGCUGCCAGAAAGGGUUGUCAUUCCUGAGGUAAGCAAAGUGUCAGAUGAUCACAGCGAAGUCAAGAGGAGUCUGUGGACAUUGAAACUGUACCCAGGAGCAACAUCAAUGACAGAGUCCUUGCAGAUGGCACUAGAAAUGAUCCAGUGUGCAUGAGGAAUGCAAGCUGACCUUCUCUCUGGUGUCAAGUAGACAACAGUUUUUCUCACUUGCAGAUGCCCUCGCACAGAAGGAUGUGAUGGCAAUGCUGAACUUUCGACGACAAGUUUUUCACAAAAUCCAGGCAGUCAUAAAUCCAGCUGACAACUCCUAAGGGAUAUUUGAUUAUGGACAUGGUCAUUUUUGUAGUCAACAAUUCUGUAUCCACUUGAGGACAAAAACUUCCAGAAGUGUUGUAAUCAAUCUUUGUGCUGUAUAAUCUUUGUCUAAACUCACUUCUGAAAAUAUAUUGGAAAGAAUCAUUACAUUUGAGGAGUAUUUUCAUAUGACACUUUAGAAAACUUUUUGCAUUUGGAUCUGAAUUGUAUACUUUUAUUUUCCAAAAUGGAAGAAUUCUUUUACUUUAAGAAAAAGUUGCCUUGCUAAAGCACAUAUUCUGACGGACAGUGCUAAGAAAUAUUUGUAUUUGGUAGAAGAUAAAUCAGCUGUGAAAUAUUUGUCAAUGAAAUUUAUUCAUAAAGGGCCUUCUUUUAACUAGCUUCAGACAGGAACAGCUUGUAAAACAAGUGUGCUACCAAAGUCCCAUUUGUGUGCCCAAAAUGUGGGGCUGGUCUAUCACAGCUGGCCAAACCUAGUUUCUAGUGUCACUGUAAAUUUGACCAAGUGAAUCCCCAACUUUACUGUGUUUUGUUAAGAAUGCUUUUCACAAAAGUAAAUAGUGGGCAUGCUUUUAGCAUGUAUGAAGAGGGAGCAUAUUUUUAUCAGCACUAUUUUUCUGGUUUAAGUUAAAAUAGAAUUACUUGCCCCUCACCUAAUGAAUGCCUUGGCAUAAAAAUCAAUACUAUAAACUUAUAUACAUAUACAUAUUAAUUUUCACCUGAUUUUUUAUAUUUUACUCGUCUCAUUUCAUUUUUAUUUUGUUAUGCAUGUACAGUCUCUACAAUAAUGCAUAUGCUGGUGUUUGACACCAUCUUUCUUUUAACAUUUACUAAUAAAUAACUAUUUCUAUCAAGACAUUCUGAAAAUAAAGAUUUUCUUUAAUUCA
rnacentral:misc_RNA from 1 species